rnacentral:rRNA from 1 species
GACGAACGCUGGCGGCGUGCUUAACACAUGCAAGUCGAACGGAAAGGCCCUGCUUUUGUGGUGUUCUCGAGUGGCGAACGGGUGAGUAACACGUGAGUAACCUGCCCUUGACUUUGGUAUAACUUCAGGAAACUGGGGCUAAUACCGUAUAGGAUCUCCUGCUGCAUGGUGGGGGUUGGAAAGUUUCGGCGGUUGGGGAUGGACUCGCGGCUUAUCAGCUUGUUGGUUGGGUAGUGGCUUACCAAGGCUUUGACGGGUAGCCGGCCUGAGAGGGUGACCGGCCACAUGGGGACUGAGAUACGGACCAGAGGCCUACGGGAGGCAGCAGUGGGGAAUAUUGCACAAUGGGAGGAAGCCGGAGGCAGAAACGCCGGGUGCGGGAUGACGGCUUGCGGGUUGUAAACAGCUUUAGCCUGUGACGAAGCGGGAGUGACGGUAAUGGGUAAAGAAGCACCGGCUAACUACGUG